UAAGGCUAGUUAUCUUACUAUCUUUUUCCAGCUGCGUAUUUCUGAUAUUGCUUAUUAUUAUCCGUUGAAUUGGGUUGAAUUAUUAUUAGGUGAACUUCUCGCUUUAGAUUGUUUGGGGUGGGAUAGCGAGAGGUUGUAUUUGUUAGUUGAGGAUUGUAACUCACUGAGUAAUGCUAGAUUACUCACUCCUCACUCGUUGCUGUUUUCAGGUGACCAGUA
rnacentral:lncRNA from 1 species